AGCCGCGUGGUGUAAUGGUUGCACACUCUCACAAAAACUUUCUUUGAAUCCUUACUAUGUACUACUUCUUCCCACCUGAUGAGAGAGGGGCAGGUUCGAUUCCUGCCGUGGCUA